rnacentral:rRNA from 1 species
GACGAACGCUGGCGGCGUGCUUAACACAUGCCAGUCGAACGGUGAAGCGCCUUCCUUUUUGGUGGGUGGGGAUGAGUGGCGAACGGGGGAAUAACACGUUAGUAACCUGCCCCCUCCUUCUGGAUAACCGCAUGAAAGUGUGGCUAAUACGGGAUAUUCUGGAUCUGUCGCAUGAUGGGUCUGGGAAAGAUUUUGUUUCGGUGGGGGAUGGGCUCGCGGCCUAUCAGCUUGUUGGUGGGGUGAUGGCCUACCAAGGCGGCGACGCGUAGCCGGCCUGAGAGGAUGAUGGGCGACACUGGAACUGAGACACGGCCCAGACGACUACUGGAGGCAGCAGUAGGGAAUAUUAGGGAACGGGCGGAAGCCUGAUGAAGCAACGACGCGUGGGGGAAGAUGGUGUUCGGAGGGUAAAGAACUUCUUUUGGGAAAGAAGAAGAGCUGCAUCAUAUGUGGGUGGGUUGACGGUAGCUAAAUAAGAAGCGCCGGCUAACUACGUG